rnacentral:ncRNA from 1 species
AUGUUCGGGGCGGCCCGCGUGUUACAAUGAAGCCAUAAGCGUGCUCCUUGCCCGAAAGGAUUGGGUAAUCACUUAACCGGCUUCAUAGUUGGGAUUGUGGA